CGACGGUACANGGAGCUUGCUCCGCUGACGAGUGGCGAACGGGUGAGUAAUAUAUCGGAACGUACCCAAGAGUGGGGGAUAACGUAGCGAAAGUUACGCUAAUACCGCAUACGAUCUANGGAUGAAAGCAGGGGACCGCAAGGCCUUGUGCUCCUGGAGCGGCCGAUAUCUGAUUAGCUAGUUGGUAGGGUAAAGGCCUACCAAGGCAUCGAUCAGUAGCUGGUCUGAGAGGACGACCAGCCACACUGGAACUGAGACACGGUCCAGACUCCUACGGGAGGCAGCAGUGGGGAAUUUUGGACAAUGGGCGCAAGCCUGAUCCAGCAAUGCCGCGUGAGUGAAGAAGGCCUUCGGGUUGUAAAGCUCUUUUGUCAGGGAAGAAACGGGCGAGGCUAAUAUCCUCGUCUAAUGACGGUACCUGAAGAAUAAGCACCGGCUAACUACGUGCCAGCAGCCGCGGUAAUACGUAGGGUGCAAGCGUUAAUCGGAAUUACUGGGCGUAAAGCGUGCGCAGGCGGUUUUGUAAGUUUGUCGUGAAAUCCCCGGGCUCAACCUGGGAAUGGCGAUGAAGACUGCAAGGCUAGAAUCUGGCAGANGGGGGUAGAAUUCCACGUGUAGCAGUGAAAUGCGUAGAGAUGUGGAGGAACACCGAUGGCGAANGCAGCCCCCUGGGUCAAGAUUGACGCUCAUGCACGAAAGCGUGGGGAGCAAACAGGAUUAGAUACCCUGGUAGUCCACGCCCUAAACGAUGUCUACUANUUGUCGGGUCUUAAUUUGACUUGGUAACGCANCUAACGCGU
rnacentral:rRNA from 1 species